rnacentral:lncRNA from 1 species
GGCGGUGGGAGGCGGGGGCGUGGAGCGGAGUUGGGGGUGGAGGGCGGUGGAAUCCUGCCUGCCUAGCAUCCUUCGCUAACUCGCAGGUUGAGACCAGCAGGUGCCCAAGGGCCAUCCUCUGGGUGUAGAGGAUAUAGGCUCAUUUCAGAACCCUCACGCCUUGUUAGAGCUCUGUCACACGGGCCAGAAACAGGGAACUGGGGUGGAGACUCCUGCAGAACUACUACCCCACACAUUCUCUCCUCACCCUCGUCUGUGCGAGGGGCUGAUUGCACCUAAGGCGAGACGUGACAGGAUCCUCCGGAAUCUUGCUACCGGUGGAGACUUGGAAUUGGACUGGAGCCCAAUGACCAGUAGCAGAACCUGAGAACACGCGCAGGUGAAAGCUCAGAGCGCUCUCACGGCGACACCUGCUGGGUGCGGCAGGUGGUGCAUUCUGGCCUUUUGUCUUUCUGAUCAGAGACACGCAGCCCAAGUUUCAGUUGGAGAAACUGAGGAGGUGAAGUCAAACUCAAAGUCACUAACAGGUGAAUAGCCAGAUUGGAACAAGGUAGCCCCAACUCUAGUGACCCCUACUCUUCUCUCCACUCCAGGCCUGCUUAGCCUUCCAGACUGCAGUUCUUCAUGCAUACCUUCAUGUACAGCCGCUGUUCACGCAUGCGUCCACGGGCUACUGGCGCCAGCCAUGCUGACAACCGUGGAUUCAAGGAACACGGGAGACCUUGGUCUGGGUACAGCCUGGGGGGGGGGCGCUUUCAGAAUAUGGCCACUACAUUGUUCAACCAAUCUCCAUUGCAAGGAGUUCUCUGUGCGCGCCUUCCUUGCCUCUGGGCAAGCCUGUGAUAGCUUCCUCAUUGACAGGUGCAGAUGAUGGUAAAUGGAUACGUACAGGAGCCCUGUCCAGUAAGCACAUGCAUAGCUUCAGAUGGCACCGGCUGGUGAGAAGGUCACAGGACCGGGGACCGGGCAAUGGGAAAGAGGGUUCUGUGCACUAAAAUGUUUGUUUUAGCUCUGAGGAAGUGGCUGGGCUGUCCGCAGCAGAUCACAGGAUUUGGGCCCAUUAUGGUAGAAGCUAGGAGUGGGUGAAGGAGGAGCAAGGAUGAAGAGAAAGAAAGCCAGUGAUGUGGAGGGAAGAGAGGGGGACUGUAUUCCUAGAAGAGUUUGGAGUCCAAUGGAGACCCUGGAGAAUAAAGCAGGUAAC